ACAAAACGAAGAGAUAAAGAUUAGGAGGGAGCUGGGAUCCCCAGACCUCCACGCAAGGCAAGGAGGAAGAGGACAAAUGACAGCCGGAGAUCACUUGGGUGGAUGCCAACAAAUGAAGGAGAACUCCUGAAAGCUCUAGGUGCCUACAAAAUCGGAAGUAGUUGGAGUGCGGUGAGAGCACAGGGGGUGAGGCGUUUAUCGACAUGCGGGGACAUCGGCGGAACGCUGACAGCGGAGCGCGUCCACCGCGUCACAUCGCCGGGAAACCUGACAGUGGAGGGCGUCAAAAUGCGUCACAUCGCCGGGAAACCGGACCUUGGAGGGGCGUCAAAAUGCGUCACAUCGCGGAAUCCGAUUCU
rnacentral:lncRNA from 1 species